AUGCUCUAUGUCAUUGUAAAUAGAGUGAAGAGAAAAAUUUUCACUCCGCUCUGCUGGGCCCGCUGUUUCAUUUCAAUUUACAAAAAGUAGACGCAAUAAUGUGUUGCCGGGAAAAGUACACGAAGCUGGAGGGUGGAGCGAUUGCUAUUGGUGUUAUACAUAUUGUUUUUUGCACUUAUUUCUUUGUUUUUGGUAUCGGACAACAAGUAAUAAAUAUCGAUGAUAAACAGUGGGAUUUUGCAUAUCACACAUUCGUAAAGACUGUUUUCCUUUCCGAGGCAGUGUUUGGUUGGGCUUUCAGUACAACAUUACUCAUUGGAAUCACGAAGGGGAAUCCAAAUUGCUACUUGUCAUACAUUGUGUGGGUGUGCCUCUCACAUUUCGUCAUUAACACCAUAUUCCUUAUUUCUACAAUUGUACUGUCUUCAUCCACCUGUUUGUCACGAUGCAGACGAUCUGUAGCUCCUGACGACGACGAAAUGAAGCGCGGUGUUCGUGAACUUUAUAUCUACACCUGUGUGGCGUACUAUCUCUUGGGAACAGUUUCGUUGGUCAUCAUUUACAAGCAAUUUCGAAUUCUGAAAGACCGAAUAAACUCACUGGAAAGUGAUAUUGAUGUACGUUAUAGGUUGCAAAUCCAUUGAAAAUUUAACAAAUUGACGGCGCUGAAAAUUCAAAAUGAUAACUGAUAUUUACGAACGCGAUAUUCUCAUAAUUCGUGAGAAAUUGUUGAAAAAUAGCAUACGGUUCACUAACUGAAAAAUGAGUGGAGUUACACAGUCCAUAUUAACCAAUUCACGCCGUAAGUGCGGUCGAAAUUCAAAAUGGAAAGUGUGUAAUACUUUCUAACGUAGCGUCAUUUUCA